CACUCUGGUGGCCUAGUGGUUAGAGUCUCCACUUCAGAUGCGGGAGGUUGUGGGUUUGAACCCCAGUUGAGUCA